GCGCCUCGGCGGUGGGGUGGGGGUAGCAGGGGAGGAGGAUUAACUAGGAAACACGAGGAAAGGGGCUAAUUAUAACCCGGGGCUUCCGCUGACACUCCCCCCCCUUGCCCCCUCCCCCCAGCGGUAAAAUAGAGAUGGAUUUCCCUUGGGGGCGGGGACGCAGGGAACCCCGGAGGGAUCAGGAGACUUGGGGAAAAGGAAGCUGAGGAUAUUGGGACUGGGGGCCCCGGGAGCCCACAUUGCAGUCCCGGCCCCACCCCAGGGACCUAAUAGACACGAAAUAAAAUGCUCUGGCCCUGGGAGGUGGCGGCCUCUCUAGGAUUGCAGGGGCAAUGGAAAGCCUAGAGCGUCUGCCGGGGAGCGAAGGUGAAGUGUGUGUGCAGGUCUUUGGGAGGCAGGGAGGGGCGCUGAAUUUACUCCCCCUCUGCCCAACGUGAGGACUGGUGCCAUUUGGGCAGGAUGCCAUCUGAUCACAAGAAGAAUACAUGCAAGAGCAGACACUGAACUGUCACAUGAGGGGAGACAUGCAUGAAGUCAAGGAAAUUUUCCUGUCUGAUUACCAGCAUCCACACAUCAACCCCUGAAAAGACUUCCAUUCCAUGACUGUACCCAGAGGAAAUAUCAAGAAUUACCUGAGAAAAGACUUUCAAAGACUUUGAAUGAACAGUUUUGUUUUGUUGUUUUUCUUUUAUACCAUAUGUAACAUGUACUCUCUGCAG